rnacentral:lncRNA from 1 species
UCUCCUACUGUGGAUGAGAAACAGCUUUGGUAUGAGACCGUUGUGGGGGAGAAGAAGCGUAAAGUGUAUGAAGUGGAUUCUCAGGCAUAUGCUUUUUAUCCUCAAUCAUCUUACGGAUCAUCCUCAGCUACAUCAUCUCUCAUGCAUUCAGAGGCAUUGGAAGAUGAGCUUCAACAGCUAAGAGCAAAAUUGAUAGAGCAGAAUCAGCAGCUCCAGAAGACUGUUGUUAUAAAUCAAGAGCUCUAGCAAACUGUUGUUACAUUGACGGAGCAAAAUGAAAGAGAGUAGAGGCUGCA